rnacentral:rRNA from 1 species
GACGAACGCUGGCGGCGUGCUUAACACAUGCAAGUCGAACGGAAAGGCCCCUUUGGGGGUACUCGCUUGGCGGGCGAACGGGUAACACGUGAGUAACCUGCCCUUGCCUUCGGGUUGACUACCGGCAACUGGGGCUAAUACCGGAUAGGAAUCAUUGCUGCAUGGUGGGUGUUGGAAAGAUUCGGCGGGUUUGGGUGGACUGGCGGGUUGUCAGCUUGUUGGUGGGGGAGUGGCUUACCAACGGUUUGAUGGGCAGGCGGCCGGGGAGGGAGAGCGGCCACAUUGGGACUGGGAAACGGCCCAGACUUCUACCGGGGGCAGCAGGGGGGAAUUUUGCACAAUGGGCGGGAGCCCGAUGCAGCAACGCCGCGGGGGGGAUGACGGCCUUCGGGUUGGAAACCGCCUUCAGCAGGGGCGAAGCUUGUGGUGACGGUACCUGCAGAAGAAGCACCGGCUAACUACGUG